GAGAUGUAUUAGGGGGUCCGUAUUGUGGGCGCUCGGUUUGGUCUGGGUUAAAUAUGAUUUGAGUUGAAGAUAUGAGAAGACCAUCCUGGGGGGUAGGUCGUGGUCUGCUUGGAUGUCCGUGAAGUGUCUGAGUUUCCCCUCUUUGUACAGCUGCCCUAUCUCUAUGAUACCCUUUUGCUUCAAUGGUUUUAUGUCUAGUGUUGGGAUCGCAGUUGCUACUGCUUCCAGUGGUGUGGCUAGGGGCACUGGGUGAUAGUUGACCAAACAGUGUUUAGAGGUGUCCCAUUGAUGUAG